rnacentral:rRNA from 1 species
AGUGAACGCUGGCGGCAGGCCUAAUACAUGCAAGUCGAACGGCAGCACAGCAGAGCUUGCUCUGUGGGUGGCGAGUGGCGGACGGGUGAGGAAUACAUGGGAAGCUGCCCAGUCGUGGGGGAUAACGUAGGGAAACUUACGCUAAUACCGCAUGCGCCCUUCGGGGGAAAGCCGGGGACCUUCGGGCCUGGCGCGAUUGGAUGAGCCCAUGUCGGAUGAGCUAGUUGGCGGGGUAAUGGCCCACCAAGGCGACGAUCCGUAGCUGGUCUGAGAGGAUGAUCAGCCACACUGGAACUGAGACACGGUCCAGACUCCUACGGGAGGCAGCAGUAGGGAAUAUUGGACAAUGGGCGCAAGCCUGAUCCAGCCAUGCCGCGUGAGUGAAGAAGGCCCUCGGGUUGUAAAGCUCUUUUGUCCGGAAAGAAAAGCAUCCAGUUAAUACCUGGGUGUCCUGACGGUACCGGAAGAAUAAGCACCGGCUAACUUCGUGCCAGCCGCCGCCGUAAGAC